GACGAACCGUCCUAACGUUAUUCGGAAUUACUGGGCUUAAAGCGCGUGUAGGCGGGAUGGCGCGUCUGUCGCUGAAAUCCCUCGGCUUAACCGAGGAACGGGCGCAGAUACGGCCAUCCUGGAGGGGGGUAGGGGGACCUGGAACUUCCGGUGGAGCGGUGAAAUGCGUUGAGAUCGGAAGGAACGCCCGUGGCGAAAGCGAGGUCCUGGACCCUUUCUGACGCUGAGACGCGAAAGCCAGGGGAGCAAACGGG
rnacentral:rRNA from 1 species